rnacentral:miRNA from 1 species
GACAGAGUGUGUGUGUCUGUGU